AGUUCUGGGAUUCCGCGGCAACUUUGCCCCGGCUCUCUGAUUCCAUCAUUGCCUAACAGAAGUGCCUCUGACUGGCCGACUGUGUCUGACUGACCACAGACGCCAUCACUGUCUCUAUCUGGCUGUGUCUAAUGAAAACAGAUUUCGUGAAUGCCUGAUGGACCAAGACCGCGUGAUCUGUCUGCCUGACCACAGUCGACUGACUGACUGCCCUACCUGGCUAAUGGCAGCUGGGACCGACGGCGCGUGUCUGACUGAGUCGAUCUUGCUGUUUCUGACUGACCAGAUUCCCUCUGUGCUCGACAAGCUGUAUCUGAGUGACCGAGGCCCUGUGUGAUUGACUGACCGGUUCACUGAUUCCUCUGUGCUGGCGUUUUGACCCCAGCUCAGCUCAGCUGAUUCUAACUACACCCGGGCUUGUGCGUCUGCCCGAGGCCCCUGCGCGUCUGCCUGACUGGCUGGCUGAUAAGCUGGCUGGUUACCCUGACUGCAUUGGCCUUACUACAGCCUCUGUGCCUGGUGAGGUCCGCCUGAGUGGCCAUCUGACAGGUGGGAUCAGCCCUCCUGAAGAGUGGACUGAGGGCAUCUGCCAAACUGCCGGGCUGAGUUUGCGGCUGGCUGGUUCUGGCUGACUGACUGAAUCUAACUGUAUCUCAGCGACCCAGUUUUUGUGCUGUUUUGUAUUUGGUUGGGUUUUUCUUGGCUGUGCGGCAUGCAGGUUCUUAGUUCCCCUACCAGGGAUCGAACCCGUGGCCCCUGUAGUGGGAGCACAGAGUCACUGAACCACCAGAGAAAUCCCAGGGACUGGGUUUCAGAAUGACUGAGUCUGCCUGACUGACCCUCCCUGGCCGCCUCUGCCUGACUCUGCUUUAUGGACAGCGUCUGUCUCUGGCUACACCUGACUAUCGGCUGCCUCUUCUACAUCCCAUAAUGUCAGUUGAAUCAGAUUGCUGCCUGAACUGCAGCUGACCAGCUGAGUCUGACUUGGCCUCUGAAAUUCUCUCCCUAAUGACCUCCUUCACUCCAGCUCCCCAACAUAUGGCUUCUGAGAUGUUCCUUGGCCAGGGAGCUGGGCCCCAGAUGUUUUCAGCUAGAUUCUACCUACACACCGAGGCAGAACCACAUCUGAAUCACACUUCCCCUAGGAAGUCUUCCCGAUUACUCAGGCUCAUGGAUCUCUCUGAACUAAAUUAAACAUUUCUUGUAAAGUUUCUACUUCUGAAGAGGGGAAUAGGAUGCUUCUCUGCGUCUUGAACAAUGGAACUGAACUAGGAGAGAGCCGGUUCCUCAUCCCGACUCUCUGUUUCUGGAGAAAAGUGGGCACACGAACUUGGCCCUUCUUCCUGUCUCGGGGAAGCCCUGGGGGAAGACGCCCCUGAGCCAGCCUGGAGCCAGGAGCCUGUCUGCAGAAACUGUUGGGCCUGUUCCUCCCACUGAUGUUUACUUGGCCGGGAGGCCCAGCGUGAUGAAACCUGGCCCUGUUGCCGAGCACCUUGGGAGGCCUCACUCCAGGGUCCCUCUGUGCUCAGACAGUGGCCCUUUGUGGAGCAGAGAAGCAGGACUGAAAGUGGAGCUGCCUCCGUUCCCCCCACCCCCGCCCCCAUCCCCGGCAGUCAUGGACCAUCCUGUGCCUGGGUGGCCUCUGUGCAAAUCCGUGGCUGGCAGAGUGAGGUAGGUCAUCCAGGCAACCAGCUAGACUAGAGGAGUGAGGAAGGGUCCUGCUAGAAGGGCCUGCUGAAACCAGACCUGCUGCGCAUCUGGUCCCUUAGCUGCACAGAGGCUGCUGCUUCUGGAGACUGGUCCCCCUACAGGCCAGAGUGACACUUUGCACCAUCCUGUCUGUGUCUGUGUUGCUUAGUCGUUCAGUUGUGCCCUGACUCUGCGACCCCAUGGACUGUAUCCCACCAGGCUCCUUGUCCAUGGGAUUUUUCAGUCAAGAAUACUGGAGUGGGUUGCCAUUUCCUCUUCCAGGGGAUCUUCCCAACCCAGGGAUCGAACCCGAGUCUCCUGCAUUGGCAGGCGGAUUCUUUACUGCUGAGCCAUCGGGAAGCCCCUUCUUAUCCCACCACUGCCAUAUAUGCCCUAGGAUUUACGGCAAGUCCUUCUAAUGUGGGUUCU
ensembl:lncRNA